AAGUCUGUAUUUAAUGGAAAAAAUCGGAUUUCGAAUCAGAAAAAGAGGGUUCAAUUCCCUUCAGGCUUU
rnacentral:tRNA from 1 species